CAUACAUACUUAUAGACGUUUCACGUAAAUUGUCAAGGUCAAGACAGCAAAUUAGUUACCAUUCCAAUCCAGAGAUGUCGCUGUCAGUCAAUUCUCUUGUCAUAUUUAACAACUGACAGUUGACAAUUAAAUUAAUUUGUUAUUUACUUUUUAUUUUGCAGUUUGUGGCUUAAAUAUUUUAUUAUAGUGGUGUUACGUUUUUAAUUAGAUUUAAUCACAAUUUUAAUCAAUUGUAUUAACCUCCUCUCCGUUUUUCCUUAAUAGAUCCUGAAACAGUUUAUUCCAAUAUACAAGUGUGUCAUAAACAUUUCGGGCCUAUAUAUUUUUGGAAGUUUGUGAAAGAUUAUAAGGUAUUUAUCUAAACAAUCAUCCUACAAGAUUAUUUCAAAAAUUUUCAUUCAACUCAAUAUUACACAUCAGUGCUUUCACGUGACACAUGGCAGUAGUGUUUAUAGCAUUUUGAAAACAAAUUGGAAUAUUUGAAGUUUUCAGUAAAACAUUGAAUAAAACAUUGAAUUGUC